rnacentral:rRNA from 1 species
AACGAACGCUGGCGGCAGGCCUAACACAUGCAAGUCGAACGCCCUAGCAAUAGGGAGUGGCAGACGGGUGAGUAACGCGUGGGAACGUGCCCUUCGGUUCGGAAUAACUCAGGGAAACUUGAGCUAAUACCGGAUACGUGCGAGAGCAGAAAGAUUUAUCGCCGAAGGAUCGGCCCGCGUUCGAUUAGCUAGUUGGUGAGGUAAUGGCUCACCAAGGCGACGAUCGAUAGCUGGUCUGAGAGGAUGAUCAGCCACACUGGGACUGAGACACGGCCCAGACUCCUACGGGAGGCAGCAGUGGGGAAUAUUGGACAAUGGGCGCAAGCCUGAUCCAGCCAUGCCGCGUGAGUGAUGAAGGCCCUAGGGUUGUAAAGCUCUUUCGCCAGGGACGAUAAUGACGGUACCUGGAUAAGAAGCCCCGGCUAACUUCGUGCCAGCCGCCGCGGUAAUAC